rnacentral:lncRNA from 1 species
GACUUCUUGAAAGAAUCAAAACUUGAGAAGUAACUGAGAAGUAGAAGCAGCUCUUAACAAGCAUCAGGGGCUCAGAAGAGGUAGCUCUUCCCAGGGCAUCCAGCGGGCGAGCUGUUCCAUGUGCCUCUGAACCCAGCUUCCCACUUAGCAGCAGGUCUUGAGUGCACCUGGCAUACAAACACCUGCCUGCCCACCCCCGGUGCUGAAGACCGACCAGUCAAGGAGGUGUUGGUGGGAGUGUUGUGUUCACCAUGUGGAGAUCAGGCGGCGAUUACCGCAUCUUCUUUGCUGACUUUGGUAACCGGGUGUCCAGGGAGGAGCGAUCGGGAGUGGCCAAGCAGUUGCCUGGACUCAGCUUCUGACUCUGCAGCUGGGAGUCAGAUGCAGGCCCAAGGGUCCAGGGGAGUUGUUCAGCGCCUGGAAUCGCCAUGCAUUGCGCGGUGGACCGCACGACGCUCCUGCUCUGUUCUCCCAGGCACAGACAGGCACUUGGAAGGCAGCUUUGCUCCUCUGGCCACCCGGAAACCUCCCAGCAGUUCAGAUGGGACAAACUGGGGGCCUGUCAGAACAGCCACUUGUGCCGGGAAGGCCAGGCCCCGGCCUGCUCCGAUGAACGUCAGGACGGUGGCUGCAGCAGGGAACCAGGGCUGGCCUUGGAUCUGUCCAGUAGGGUCACUGACUGGGCAGGGCUUGCUGCAUAGAGGAUGGCUGCAUUUUGUGCUCAGAGUUGGUUGAAAUGGCUACGAAGUGUGGAGAAUAACCACUGAAUCCCAAAAAGUCACUGCGCUUGAUCUGAUCCAAGUAACAGUGACUGCAGUUAGGGUCGAGAGCUUCUCCGAAGCAGCGGUCAUGCAGGCUUUUGUGUGGCUGACGCUUCCCUUUUUCACAACAGUAAAAAGCUAUCAAUGGGAAAUUGUGGACUUUUCCCACCAGGGACUCAAUGGGGACUCAAUGUGCAAUAUUCAGUCAACAUAAAACUCUUUAAGAACUCCUCCUGACUGGUGACUGUCAACACUUGAUCUGAAACGUGAAUAGUUUAAUUUUCCUGAGCAAGGAGCUGCGAGUCUAGCUUUAGAAAAGCCCCUAGGAGUGUCCACCUCCACCACUUCCACCGUGCAGGCAGGUUUCAGGUGGGUUGGACCCUGUGGGACUUGCCGUCUGAGGGAUGGAUGGACUCCGAGCACCCUCCCCGGCUCAGCACCCGCGGCCUCCGCCCACUCAAUGGACUGUGCCUCCCAGAGCUUGGGCUGGAUGGUCUCCCUGCAGAGGACCAGGAGCUCUGUCCAAGGCCUCGCCCUGGGACGCUGGAAGGGGUGGGAAGGGUCAGGGGUCCGGGGUCUAGGACAGGCUCAGGGGUCUCAGCAGGUUCUCCUUGGAGGGCCUGAGCCUGGUAGGGGGGCGGUGCCCUGGGCCCCUCCAUGCCCCCUGGUUUGUUAAGGGGGACAGAGCAGCUGCUGGGCCCCACCAUCCACUUAAGGACUGGCCGUGAUUCUUGGCAAGCUCCGCCCGCCAGGCCACCUCUCACCCAGCCAGGGCACCCCGGGCGACCUCCGCGCCAGGUGCGACAGCUCAGGCCGGAGACCUCGUCUGUGGGGACGGGCCGUGUCCGGGGCCGCCACCCUGAGACCGGGCGCGGGCAGGACGGAACCUGGGGGGGAAACGGGGCAGGUACUGGCUUUAGGAGUCUAAAUCCCCAAACGCU